rnacentral:tRNA from 1 species
GCUCUCAAAGGAUAAUAGUUCAUCCAUUGGUCUUAGGAACCAAAGACUCUUGGUGCAAAUCCAAGUGGGAACU